rnacentral:rRNA from 1 species
UACGUAUGGAGCAAGCGUUAUCCGGAUUUACUGGGUGUAAAGGGAGCGCAGGCGGCUUUGCAAGUCUGAUGUGAAAGGCCGGGGCUCAACCCCGGGACUGCAUUGGAAACUGUAAAGCUAGAGUGCCGGAGAGGUAAGCGGAAUUCCUAGUGUAGCGGUGAAAUGCGUAGAUAUUAGGAGGAACACCAGUGGCGAAGGCGGCUUACUGGACGGCAACUGACGUUGAGGCUCGAGAGCGUGGGAAGCAAACAGG